rnacentral:rRNA from 1 species
AUUGAACGCUGGCGGCAAUGCCUUACACGAUGCAAGUCGAACGGCAGCACGGGAGCAAUCCUGGUGGCGAGUGGCGAACGGGUGAGUAAUAUAUCGGAACGUGCCCAGUCGUGGGGAUAACGUAGCGAAAGCUACGCUAAUACCGCAUACGAUCUAUGGAUGAAAGCGGGGAUCGCAAGACCUCGCGCGAUUGGAGCGGCCGAUAUCAGAUUAGGUAGUUGGUGAGGUAAAGGCUCACCAAGCCGACGAUCUGUAGCUGGUCUGAGAGGACGACCAGCCACACUGGACUGAGACACGGCCCAGACUCCUACGGGAGGCAGCAGUGGGGAA